AUGUUGCAGUUAACAUUUCUUGUUCCUGAAUACAUGAGCAAACAAACAAAAUGUGAACUUCUAUAGAUUGAUUUAUCAUCUGUUGUGCUGAAGUUCAAAGGUGCUACUUAUGGUUUUAUCAUAAUUGAGUUUGAAAAGUGGGAGAUUUGAGAAAGCAAGAUCUUAACAAACCAGCUUCAGCGUCCAAAGAAUUUGCUUUUCCCUUUGCUUGAAUUCAUAAAGAACUUCCAAACAGAUGACCUGUUCCUUAGGUCUGUUAUUUGAGCUGUACAACUGUGACCUUGAGUUCAUAAUGAAGUCCGAUUAGAUUACUCUGUUUUAUCUUUUCUAGUCUUUAGAAAGGUCAAAUUACCACCCUAGCUUCCACUUUUAUCUUUUCUAGUCUCUGAUGAUCUCCAUUCUUAUCUGAUACCCGGAUGCAUUUUCUGCC